GGAGGAUCCUUUGCUUCAGAUGAUCCUGGAUCAUGGAGCCAUGAAGAUGUUGAUAGUUGGAUAUCAGGAACAGAUGAUGUCAAUCACUAAUGGAUCACAGUUGACCAGGGGAAACUAAAAUCAUGGGAAACAAAACCAUGGAUAAGGCAGUACUACUGUAUACAGUUGGCCCUCCAUAGCCAUGCACUCUGCAUCAGUGGAUUCAAUCAGCCAUGGAUAAAAAAAUGUUUGAAAAGUUUAAAAGAAUGGUUGUUUCUGUACUGAACAGGUUAGGUGUUCAAGCUGUGUUAAAUCACAUCCCUGAUGUUUAUGUGGUCAGGAUAUGUGCCCUUGAGUGACCAAGCAGAAGUGCAUCUUCAAUGUUAGCUAAAUACACCUCUAACGUAUUGAAGGAAAAAAUUCAAACCAGACAGAGAGGACUGGAAUAUAUAACUAGCGCUUCAGUGCAAAGACACAGACCUACAUCAUGAGAAACAACAGCCCACUAGGAACCAUAACCUCCCCCACCCAAAAAAAAAAAGUCACUGACCAUAGCAAGAUAGCAAUAUGUGAGUUCUCUGACCAAGAAUUUAAAAUAGAAGUUUUAAGAAUAUGCAGUGCAUAGCAAUUCACAAAUUUAUGAAAGUAAUUUAACAAAUAAAUUGAAAUAAUUUUUAAAAAUCAAAUAGACAUCUUAGGAAUCAAAAAUGAAUUUGCUAAACUGAAAAACUCAUUGGAGGCUCUGAACAGAAGAAUGGAAUAAGCAAAGGAAAGAAUCAGGGCGCUUAAACACAGGCUAUUUGAUAUUACACUGUUAGAGAAAAAAAAAAAGAAAGAGAAGAAAUGAUAAUCUCCUGCAAGAUACAGAAAAUUAUCUCAAAAAAAUCUAAGAACUACUGGUGUUCUACCGGGAGUUGAACAAGAGAAAGAGGUGGAAAAGUUACUCAAAGAAAUAAUAACAAAAAAUUCCCA
rnacentral:lncRNA from 10 species